rnacentral:rRNA from 1 species
AUUGAACGCUGGCGGCAUGCUUUACACAUGCAAGUCGAACGGCAGCGCGGGGCAACCUGGCGGCGAGUGGCGAACGGGUGAGUAAUACAUCGGAACGUACCCAGAAGUGGGGGAUAACGUAGCGAAAGUUACGCUAAUACCGCAUACGUUCUACGGAAGAAAGUGGGGGACCUUCGGGCCUCAUGCUUUUGGAGCGGCCGAUGUCUGAUUAGCUAGUUGGUAGGGUAAAGGCCUACCAAGGCGACGAUCAGUAGCUGGUCUGAGAGGACGACCAGCCACACGGGGACUGAGACACGGCCCAGACUCCUACGGGAGGCAGCAGUGGGGAAUUUUGGACAAUGGGCGCAAGCCUGAUCCAGCAAUGCCGCGUGAGUGAAGAAGGCCUUCGGGUUGUAAAGCUCUUUUGUCAGGGAAGAAACGGCUGAGGUUAAUACCUUUGGCUAAUGACGGUACCUGAAGAAUAAGCACCGGCUAACUACGUGCCAGCAGCCGCCGUAAAAC